AAAAUACUAAUUAGAUUGCUAUUUAUUAUUUGUGUUUCAUUUAAGUUUCGGUAUACCAAGAUGGCCGGAGGAACAAUUUUCCUGUGUGGUUGUGAAUAUUAAGUUUUUCUCCUUGAUCGGGCAGUUGGAAGUAAAUUAAAAUAGCCGUGAUUGAAGUAAUUCAGUCCUGCGGUAGUGACCAAAACGUAUUAGAAACGCCGGAAACAUUUUUCGCCGUCCGGAAUGGCGAUUUAUUGACCGACCCUAAAAGUAAGAUUCCUCCAGGAGGACGAUGAGAUUAAAAGCGAUGAAAAGGCCGACGUAUGGAUAGUUUCCACCCAGCAUCCGGCAAAAUUCCCAUGAGGCAGGGGAUCUUAAAAUGGACACCAAACAAGAUGAACCAUACGCUAGAACAAAGGAGUCCGGGAACACGAUGGGAAGAUGAGUAUGAGAGUGUACAUUUCAAAUUAGUAUUAUCCAAAGUGAAUAACAUGUUAUUUUAAUGACGAACAUGAUGAUAAAAUAAAUAAAUGGGAUAUAGUUUGUUUUAUUCUA
rnacentral:lncRNA from 1 species